CUCCUAGAGUCUUCGCCCGCCUCCAUGUGCUAUAUUUGUGCUCCAGGCUUCUGGAGCAAAAAGAUACAAGGCCACGCCCUUUUGCAUUUCUCCACAACGAAACGUUCAUAGAACAAAACAAAAGAUGGUGGAUACGGCAAGGGCGGGUAGAAGAAGAAGAUGAAGAAGGGGUCUCUUCCAUUGCCGUUGCUCUCUAUUUUUUGUGUUUCGUUUCAAAGCAACAUUUUAGAGCACACUACACACGAGAUGCCUCUCAAUUUUUCAAUUUCAACCACCACCACCAGUGUCGGAGGCGGUUGAAAUCUGAAGAAGAAGAGAGGAGAAGAAGAAAAAGCCGGAUAACAUCACUU
ensembl:ncRNA T01B10.13 ncRNA